GACGUAGGAGGCGAGCGUUGUCCGGAUUCAUUGGGCGUAAAGAGCGCGCAGGCGGCUUGGUAAGUCGGAUGUGAAAUCCCGAGGCUCAACCUCGGGUCUGCAUCCGAUACUGCCCGGCUAGAGGUAGGUAGGGGAGAUCGGAAUUCCUGGUGUAGCGGUGAAAUGCGCAGAUAUCAGGAGGAACACCGGUGGCGAAGGUGGAUCUCUGGGCCGAUACUGACGCUGAGGAGCGAAAGCGUGGGGAGCGAACAGG
rnacentral:rRNA from 1 species